AUCCAACUGACGAGUCCCAAAUAGGACGAAAUGCGCAUCUUCACUGGAU
rnacentral:hammerhead_ribozyme from 1 species